rnacentral:tRNA from 1 species
GGCCUGAUACUUUAAUCAAAAGAAUCGACUUGCAUUCGAAAAAUAAGCCUCUACGGCUUUCAAGCCA